UGUGUGUCCCACGUCUGAUGGGUUUGCUCUGUUUUUUUUUGCUCUUCCUGAACACCUCUGCAGAGCUGGUGGCCGUCCUGCUGCAGGGAGCCCUGCUUGUGCAGAGCGGUGCUAACAGAGGAUUAAUGGUUAAUCGCUUGUUCAUGGAGGGUUAUAAACAACCUGUCGGGCUCUUUAACACCUUUUGCUGAUGUGCUCAUUGCCCUUCAUAACACAUUCCUGUCUGUCUGAUGCAACCUUGUAACCUCUAUUAAUCACUCGUUAGCUCCUGCCGCCCAAUGCGACUUGGGUGGUGCUCAGCAGCCCAUGCUCCUCACCUGUGGGUCGAGGUUUCCAAAGUGCUCAUAGGAUCCAGCAAGGAAGGAGGGAAGGUGGACCUGAGAGGCUCACAUUCAGUGCUGCACCGUGGAUGGAUGGAUGGAGCCUGAUGGGGAUGCAGGAGCUGCUGGAAGAGGUUUUUGGGCAGGUGUGGAGGAAGCCUUCUGUGUUGGCCCCACUGAGUUAUGGGGAUGCAGUGCUGGAGGUCCAUAGAGUAGCUGGGAGGUUGGCUGCUGUGCUGUUGGUGCUGUGCUCUCCCCUGCUGCUGUUUGGGAUGUGGCAUUGCCUGUCCUGCCUGGCUGAGCAAACACUACUGGGAUAUUACCUGUCUGUUAACCUGUCAGCUCUGGUUUGCAGCUCUGUUUAAUCUUUGCUGGUGGAAUUUCCCCUGCAGUUUCUGCCUCCCCCCCCGCUGUCCCCUUCCCACGAUUGGGGUAAUUAAAUAUUGCCUGAGUCCUGUCGCUUAAUGACCCGCUUGUUUGCCAACAGGAGAUAACCUGAUGUUUGCUCUCUGCAGACCAAGGACAUGGACAGCUCGUGCCCAGACAGGGCAUGUGACCGAGCCCUGGGGUGACACUGCAGCAGGGUGGUCCCUGGGGAUGGCUGGCAGAGCUUUUCCCAUGGGUCCCAGCCAGCUCCUGCUGCUGGCAUUGGGAAGGGAUGUGCCUGCAGCAGCCUGUCCCCUUCAGAUGGAGCUCUGUUAGUGUGGGAUACUGGCACAGCUGCCCAGAGAGUGGUGGGGUCACUAUCCCUGUAGGCACUCCAGAAUUGCAGGGAUGUGGCACUGAGGGAUGUAGUUAUGGGCACAGUGGGAUGGGUUGAGCUUGGGGAUCUUAGAGGCCUUUUCCAAUCUUGUUUAUCCUAUGAUUCUAAGCCUUAUGAUUUGGUUGAAUCAUGAGGUUGUUGGGGAGCUGCUGUGCUCCUGGGUCUGUUUAAAGUGCUCUGUGCUUGGGCAGCAUGGAGAGAUCUGCAGAGCUGCUGCUUUGAGCUAAAGGAAAGGGAGUCUGAAGUCCUGGAGGCCCAGGCUCAGCAUGCCCAGGAGGUGGGGUUUCCCUUGCAAAGGGUUUGGGAUUCUGCUGGCACAAUGAGCCAUAUGUGUGUUGGAUUCAAUACGUAUUUAAAGCUGUCUGUGGAAGCCAACCUUCUUAAGCCAGAAACAAAGUUCUCUAGUGGAAAAGCUCAGAAGGAAGAAAACUCCCAAACUGUGAUUUUUGGAUACUCUUUAAUUUUAGGGCUUUGGAGUCUAAUUUCUGCAUUUCUCCAAGGUUACUGUGUUAUAAAUUAAAAUUGCUGCAGAACGGAGUGCUGUUGCCAGAGCUCUCCAAGUCUGGAUGACGCUUGGCUGCAGAUGUCCUUGCUUCACCUUUCUGCAGACGAGAGAGGAAAGUGUUCACACUUGGCUGGAGAAAAGCAUGUAAAGGAGGGAAGGAGGACCGCCCUGCAAAACCCAUCACGUAGGCGUGAGUGUGGCGCUGGGGCUGAGCUCAGUAAGAGGCGUUGAUGGCACUGGGGCACCAUUUGGUGUGGAGCAUCCCAGGGUGGAUGUGGCUGGAGGAAGCUUUGCUUUGGUUGGGAUCUUGAUGCCAAAGACUUCCUGGGUCCUGUGACCGUAGGGUGAUGUCGCAGCACUCUGCAUCUCUCUGAGCAGAAGUGAUGCCAAUUUCUGCUACUUGGUGUUUAGCACCUGGUUACUGGGAAGGCAGAGAGCAAGCAGAGGUGCUGCUUGUCUUGGGGGAAGGUGAUGUGUCCCAUCAGAGGUGUCCAGAAUCUUUGCCACCCCAAGCAGCAGCUGUUGGUCUGGGCAGUGCUGGAACAGGCUGCAGGGCUGCUCUGGUGUACCAUCCUCCUGCCCUCCCUCCCCAAAUCUCUCUAGUUUUCUAUUUUUUUCAGCAGCAGGUUCUGUCUGGAGCUGGUUUAGAGGAUUAAGAUCCCUGAGUACGUGCCGCUCUGGUGCGGUAUGGGGUAUGGGAAGGCUGCACGCCAGGCUGCCUGCCCUAUAACAGCUCAUGACUGGGGACAGAGAGCUGUGGGGUUGCUCUUGCCCUAAGCCACGUGAGCAGCCUGGCUGGCACUGUAUGAUUAAAUUAGUUUCUAGGAGAACAAAUCCAGGAUUAGAGGAGCCAUUUGCCGUGCUGAAAGCGGAGCCCUGCUAAUUAGGUUUAUGGCCAGCAGUGGAGGCUUGAGGUGCACCUGAGAGGAGAGAGCUGAGGCGCUGCAGCAGGAACAGCCACCAGCACAUUGCCGCAGACAGGAGGAAGGAAGAGCAGAGGCAGCACAGUGCCCAGCACCCUCAGGGAUCGGGGUGCACCCAGGGUCAUUCUGUGCUCCUUCCCCCAGUGCUGUCAUGGGAAUGACCCCAGUGCAGCCACCCACCACCACUUGCUGUGAUUCAGGGUCCUGAGCUGACCUCGCUAUGCUGCACCCACGCAGGGCAGGGAUGGCCGAAUUACUGCUCCCUGCUGCGCUCUGCACAUCCUUCUCCUGGCUGGGUGGCCCCAGGAUCUGUGGGGCUGGAUGGCUGUGUGCUCUCAGGUCAAACAGUAGCUCCAUUUUUUCCCUUCUGAAGGACCAAAAGCUUACCCUGUUCCAAGGAAUUAGCUGUGGAUUUUUAUUUUAUUUUAUUUUUUCCCUCUUCUGUUCUUCUUUCUGAAUCUUUUUGGGGUUUUGGGCUCUUAAUGAGGAUGCUCGGACCAGCACUGAGUGUAGCCCUAUGCAGAGGGGUGAACACCCCUGGAGAAGCAAUGGGAGCAGCAUACCAAGAGCUGGCCUCCACAAUGCCUUGGGUCUGAAACUGUCUGAGAGCUGUGUCCCUUCACAUCGCAUGGCUGCGUCCUCCCCAGCACAUCCCAUAGGGAUUAGGUGGGAUUCUGGGGGGCGCGUGGCCAAACCACACUGAGGGGAACGUCAAGAAGGGGGGAAAAUGUCACCCUCAGAAACAAUUAAACUGCUUAAUAAAAUCCGUUGCCUCUCAGAG